rnacentral:rRNA from 1 species
AAUGUUGGACAAUGGGCGCAAGCCUGAGCCAGCUACGCCGCGUGAGUGAAGAAGGCCUUCGGGUUCUAAAGCUCUUUCGGACGGAUUGAAAUCGCGCAGGCUAAUACUCUUAGCGGGCUACUUUACCGUCACAAAAAGCACAAGCAACCGCCACCCCCGCAGCCGCGGUAAUACGUAGGGUGCGAGCGUUAAUCGGAAUUAUAGGGCGUAAAGCGUGCGCAGGCGGUUGAUUAAGACAGGCGUGAAAUCCCCGGGCUUAACCUGGGAACUGCGCUUGUGACUGGUCAGCUAGAGUGCGGCAGAGGGGGGUGGAAUUCCACGUGUAGCAGUGAAAUGCGUAGAGAUGUGGAGGAACACCGAUGGCGAAGGCAGCCCCCUGGGCCGAUACUGACGCUCAUGCACGAAAGCGUGGGUAGCAAACAGG